rnacentral:rRNA from 1 species
GAUGAACGCUAGCGGCAGGCCUAAUACAUGCAAGUCGAGGGGUAGUGGUUGCUUGCAGCCAUGAGACCGGCGCACGGGUGCGUAACGCGUAUGCAACCUACCUUCAUCUGGGGGAUAGCCCGGAGAAAUCCGGAUUAAUACCGCAUAAAAUCACAGUACGGCAUCGUACAAUGAUCAAACAUUUAUGGGAUGGAGAUGGGCAUGCGUGUCAUUAGUUAGUUGGCGGGGUAACGGCCCACCAAGACCGCGAUGACUAGGGGAUCUGAGAGGAUGACCCCCCACACUGGUUCUGAGACACGGACCAGACUCCUACGGGAGGCAGCAGUAAGGAAUAUUGGUCAAUGGGCGCAAGCCUGAACCAGCCAUGCCGCGUGCAGGAAGACGGCCCUCUGGGUUGUAAACUGCUUUUAUUCGGGAAUAAACCUGCUUACGUGUAAGUAGCUGAAUGUACCGAAGGAAUAAGGAUCGGCUAACUCCGUGCCAGCAGCCGCGGUAAUAC